rnacentral:ribozyme from 2 species
UUGUUAACUCCGCCAUCAAAUAAUAAUUAUUUGAUGCCGGUCUCAAGCCCGGAAAAGGAGGAGAGGAAA